rnacentral:rRNA from 1 species
UACGUAGGGGGUUAGCGUUGUCCGGAAUCAUUGGGCGUAAAGCGCGCGUAGGCGGCCAGAUUAGUCCGGUGUGAAAGUCAGAGGCUCAACCUUUGAAUGCCGCUGGAAACUGUCUGGCUUGAGUCCGGUAGGGGCGAGUGGAAUUCCUGGUGUAGCGGUGAAAUGCGCAGAUAUCAGGAGGAACACCAAUGGCGAAGGCAGCUCGCUGGAACGGUACUGACGCUGAGGAGCGAAAGCGUGGGGAGCAAACAGG